GAAAUUGAAAUAUUUUUUAGGCUCGUAUAAAGAAGAUCAUGCAGCUUGAUGAAGAUGUCGGCAAGGUGGCGGCACCUGUACCUGUCAUAAUCUCUAGAUCGUUGGAAUUGUUUGUUGAGUCAUUAUUAACGAAAACCAGUGCAAACACGCUGUCAAAAAAUGCUAGGACCCUUAGUGCAGCACAUCU